UGAGUAACCUGCCCCAAACUCUGGGAUAAGCACUGGAAACGGUGUCUAAUACCGGAUACGAGCUUCAGCCGCAUGGCUAGGAGUUGGAAAGAAUUUCGGUUUGGGAUGGACUCGCGGCCUAUCAGCUAGUUGGUGAGGUAAUGGCCCACCAAGGCGACGACGGGUAGCCGGCCUGAGAGGGUGACCGGCCACACUGGGACUGAGACACGGCCCAGACUCCUACGGGAGGCAG
rnacentral:rRNA from 1 species